rnacentral:rRNA from 1 species
CCCGUAGGCGGUUCGUCGCGUCCGGUGUGAAAGUCUAUCGCUUAACGGUGGAUCCGCGCCGGGUACGGGCGGGCUUGAGUGCGGUAGGGGAGACUGGAAUUCCCGGUGUAACGGUGGAAUGUGUAGAUAUCGGGAAGAACACCAAUGGCGAAGGCAGGUCUCUGGGCCGUUACUGACGCUGAGGAGCGAAAGCGUGGGGAGCGAACA